UCAGGAUUAGCUCAGGGGUAGAGCAGCCGGGUUUACUCGGCGGUCGUGGGUUCGACUCCCACAUUCUGAACCA
rnacentral:tRNA from 1 species